UAACACCUGCUCUGUAUUAGGAUCACGUGGAGGAGAGCGGAAUGAUACACCCUUGUCUCCUCUGUAGAGCCGGGUUUAGAAGAGGAUGGUACACAGAACUGCGGAUGUUUCAAAAGUCAAGAACUUGCGCACUGGGCUGGACAGGCAGGAGCAGCCAAGGAAGAUAAUAGGAAUUUCAGAAGUCGAAGUGAUUCAUGCCAAGAGAAAAAGACAAAGAGGAUGGGUGGAGAAAAAUGAAGAGAUUGGGAGAAGAGAGGGAGCGAGAGGGAGAAAGGAAGAAAAAGUACACAGGGGCAUCUGUGGGGCUUUACUGAAGCUGUCUUGGAUUAUAUGACCAGUCUCCCACUGGGUUGAAAAAGCAGAAGAAUGAAGGCUCUGCCCUGUUUAAUUGCUGUUUCUCUUCGUGCUGGCAUAGAGGGUAGACUGAGUCAGCAACCUGGCUGGGUAUGGGAUUGGACAAAGAAGGCAAAUGAUAUAAAAAAUAUAUAUAAAGAAAACCAAGACAAGCAGUAUGUUCACAGGAUAUUUUUAAAUUCAAAA